UACGGGGGGGGCAAGCGUUGUUCGGAAUUACUGGGCGUAAAGGGCUCGUAGGCGCCAACUAAGUCAGACGUGAAAUCCCUCGGCUUAACCGGGGAACUGCGUCUGAUACUGGUUGGCUUGAAUCCGGGAGAGGGAUGUGGAAUUCCUGGUGUAGCGGUGAAAUGCGCAGAUAUCAGGAGGAACACCAGUGGCGAAGGCGGUGCUCUGGGCCGGAACUGACGCUGAGGAGCGAAAGCGUGGGGAGCAAACAGG
rnacentral:rRNA from 1 species